rnacentral:rRNA from 1 species
UACGGAGGAUCCAAGCGUUAUCCGGAAUCAUUGGGUUUAAGGGGUCCGUAGGCGGUUUAAUAAGUCAGUGGUGAAAGCCCAUCGCUCAACGGUGGAACGGCCAUUGAUACUGUUAAACUUGAAUUAUUAGGAAGUAACUAGAAUAUGUAGUGUAGCGGUGAAAUGCUUAGAGAUUACAUGGAAUACCAAUUGCGAAGGCAGGUUACUACUAAUGGAUUGACGCUGAUGGACGAAAGCGUGGGUAGCGAACAGG